UACGGAGGUGGCAAGCGUUGCUCGGAAUCACUGGGCGUAAAGGGCGCGUAGGCGGGGAGGUAAGUCGGGUGUGAAAUCCCUCGGCCCAACCGAGGAACUGCGCCCGAGACUGCUUCUCUUGAGUCCCGGAGAGGAGGGUGGAAUUCCCGGUGUAGCGGUGAAAUGUGUAGAUAUCGGGAGGAACACCUGUGGCGAAAGCGGCUCUCUGGACCACAACUGACGCUGAGGCGCGAAAGCUAGGGGAGCAAACAGG
rnacentral:rRNA from 1 species